UAUCCUGAGCAUGGAAGCUGCAUUGUUCCUUACACACCAGCCUUGAGUAGAGGUGACAACAGAUCAAAUAAUGCUCAAUACACUUCUACAAGGCAUAGAUAUAUUAAACGGACACCACAAUUCAAUACCAUCAAUCUAAAUAUAGAUACAGAUAUAAAUGUGCAACAAAAUGCAUAUUAAAUGGUUAGGGUAUGAAUAUGAUAUGAAUUAAACACUAAACGAAUGCAGCUACAACUUGGAUAUGAAAAGGAACAUGAAUACAAAUCAAACCAGUAACUCAAUUAUAUAUCUAUAUAUAUAUAUAUAUAUAUAUAUAUAUAUAUAUAAAAGAGUUGCCAUAAGAUUUCGUAAUACUUUGGUGCAGCAUGUGAGAACAAAGAAGUACUAAUACUAUGAAACUAUAAUCAUAUCAAACAACUCAAGCUCAAUUAUGUAGAGCAGAUAUAGAAAUAAACAACAAUGUACAAAGAGACAAACAGUUGUAUACCUGAAAACUCCGCCUGUGCUCCUCGAGGAUGAUCCGGAGGAGCGAUGCGAGCCGCAAGACCAUUUUGCGGCGCCCGAGGAUGAGCGAAACGUUGAGGAACCUUACGAGGAGACGGAGCUGCUUGUGCG
rnacentral:lncRNA from 1 species